ACUUGUGUCUUCUGACGAGUGCUGACAAUAUGACAUUUUUGUAUACAUAUAUCCGCGUUAUCAGUUACAAUUUUUCAUUGUUUAAUAAACCAAUACCAAGAACCAACAAAUUCAAUUCAAUUAUAGAAGGUUAGGUAAGUAAGCAGCUUUCUCGCUCCCUUUUGUACAAGGGUUGCUUUAUUUGAAAACGUGUUGCUUCUUUAUAAAAAAAAGGACAUGUUUCACAAAAAAUCUUUUGAAUUGUACUAAAAAUUAAACUUUUGGUGCAAAUUAUAUGGUCGGCAGCACUGUUUCCAUUUUGAUUCGUUGCUUUAUUCAUAUUCGUUAAAAACCGUUUAUUUAAUUGGAAACAUUCGAAUCGAUCAUGUUCUGAUUCUAGUUACAGUCGGUCAUUCGAUCAGGUUGUUAGAACUGCAAAUACAAUCGCGGUCGCCUUUCUCAUACCACAGAGUUCAUAGUGUAAGUGCUGCGGGAGGUGUGUUGAAGAGCUAAGUGGUACAACUGUAGUGCUUUUUAGAAACGAAGCCAAGAAUGCGUGUGUUUCUACCAUUGUCAUAUCAUAUGUGGUUCGUCGGACAAUUUCAUGGAUGACAUUGAGAGUGCUGUGGUGGUGGUGUAAAUAACUUCAAGUGUUUGGCACGUGACGGUCGUUAUGUGUCUGGUGCUGGUGCCACUGAAAUCGACUUGGCUUCUGAACUGGCUGUCUCCGCUGAUACCAUACCGGGUCUAGAACAGUACGCUGUCCGUAGAUCUACGAUCAAGUCCUCGCACUUUCCGUCUACAAGGGACGUUUUUGGUUUCUGCGCAAGUUCAGCGUCUCUACAUCUGCUCGAAACAGUACAGCGUUCCAACACCCAUACGAGACACUCCGCAAUUUUUCUCAUUGCAUUUGAUGAACGUACAUUUAUGAAUUACAUAUAUUAGCAAUAUAUGAAAUAUUUGUUUAAGACCAUAUGAAUGUACACUGAAGAGCAAAAGUGGAACAAUAAAUUAAACAAUUCUUUU